AGGAGGAACAAGCACAGUGGCUUCGGCCAGCUCUGGAGCCCUGGAUUCAGCUCCCGCAGGAACUACAGAGCUCUCUGUCUGCAGGGCCUGGAGGCUCCGGGGCGAG
rfam:Canis lupus familiaris chromosome X, whole genome shotgun sequence.